GAGAGAGGUGAACCAAGUGCGUCGGGGGGGCUUGAAAUAGCCAAAAGGAUGGGGUGGGGGCGGUUUUACCGAGCCUUUUUCGUCCCGAUUCCUGAUUUUUUUUUUCUUCCUUUCUCCCCCCAGUUGGGCUUCAAACAAGGUUCCCCCCCUCCUUCUUUUUCUUUUUUUUUUUUUUCCCUCUCUUCCCAGCAAGAUGCAAACACGUCUGCCGUGGAGGAAAUUAAACGUCAUAAAGAAAAGCCCAAUUAAGGUUUAAUGUCUGAACAUUACCAUUUCCUCCAGAAAACAAUGAAGUUCACUCGCCUCUGCCUUAGACGCUACUCAAAGGGCAAAAGAAAAAUUGUGCUGGACAGCCAGCGCUGGGAUGGAUGGAAGGCGAAAAUCUGCGCAUUUAUCUUCUGCAACCGAGAUCUGCCUUUGGAAAACGUCGCCCCGCGGAGCAACUGAAGGAUUUUGCUUCAUUUUAUUCUGAUUAAUGCGGGUAUGGAAGAGAGAGCCCAGCGCCGCCGCGCCC